rnacentral:rRNA from 1 species
GAUGAACGCUGGCGGCGUGCCUAAUACAUGCAAGUCGAGCGAACGGACGAGAAGCUUGCUUCUCUGAUGUUAGCGGCGGACGGGUGAGUAACACGUGGAUAACCUACCUAUAAGACUGGGAUAACUUCGGGAAACCGGAGCUAAUACCGGAUAAUAUUUUGAACCGCAUGGUUCAAAAGUGAAAGACGGUCUUGCUGUCACUUAUAGAUGGAUCCGCGCUGCAUUAGCUAGUUGGUAAGGUAACGGCUUACCAAGGCAACGAUGCAUAGCCGACCUGAGAGGGUGAUCGGCCACACUGGAACUGAGACACGGUCCAGACUCCUACGGGAGGCAGCAGUAGGGAAUCUUCCGCAAUGGGCGAAAGCCUGACGGAGCAACGCCGCGUGUAUGAUGAAGGUCUUCGGAUCGUAAAACUCUGUUAUUAGGGAAGAACAGAUGUGUAAGUAACUGUGCACAUCUUGACGGUACCUAAUCAGAAAGCCACGGCUAACUACGUG